rnacentral:miRNA from 1 species
AGGAAGAAAAACACUCAGAAGGAUAGUGCAAAUAAUCCAGGAGCUAGAUAGUAUCAAUGGCUCAGAAUUGUGGAAUCCUGGAUUAUUUGCACUAUCCUUCUGAGUGCUUUUCUUCCU